rnacentral:rRNA from 1 species
GACGAACGCUGGCGGCGUGCCUAAUACAUGCAAGUAGAACGCUGAAGGAGGAGCUUGCUUCUCUGGAUGAGUUGCGAACGGGUGAGUAACGCGUAGGUAACCUGCCUGGUAGCGGGGGAUAACUAUUGGAAACGAUAGCUAAUACCGCAUAAUAGCAGUUGUUGCGUGACAACUGUUUGAAAGGUGCAAUUGCACCACUACCAGAUGGACCUGCGUUGUAUUAGCUAGUUGGUGGGGUAACGGCUCACCAAGGCGACGAUACAUAGCCGACCUGAGAGGGUGAUCGGCCACACUGGGACUGAGACACGGCCCAGACUCCUACGGGAGGCAGCAGUAGGGAAUCUUCGGCAAUGGACGGAAGUCUGACCGAGCAACGCCGCGUGAGUGAAGAAGGUUUUCGGAUCGUAAAGCUCUGUUGUAAGAGAAGAACGAGUGUGAGAGUGGAAAGUUCACACUGUGACGGUAUCUUACCAGAAAGGGACGGCUAACUACGUG